rnacentral:rRNA from 1 species
GAGGGGCAGCAUGAACUUAGCUUGCUAAGUUUGAUGGCGACCGGNGCACGGGUGAGUAACACGUAUCCAACCUGCCGAUGACUCGGGGAUAGCCUUUCGAAAGAAAGAUUAAUACCCGAUGGCAUAGUUCUUCCGCAUGGUAGAACUAUUAAAGAAUUUCGGUCAUCGAUGGGGAUGCGUUCCAUUAGGUUGUUGGCGGGGUAACGGCCCACCAAGCCUUCGAUGGAUAGGGUUCUGAGAGGAAGGUCCCCCACAUUGGAACUGAGACACGGUCCAAACUCCUACGGGAGGCAGCAGUGAGGAAUAUUGGUCAAUGGACGAGAGUCUGAACCAGCCAAGUAGCGUGAAGGAUGACUGCCCUAUGGGUUGUAAACUUCUUUUAUACGGGAAUAAAGUGAGGCACGCGUGCCUUUUUGUAUGUACCGUAUGAAUAAGGAUCGGCUAACUCCGUGCCAGCAGCCGCGGUAAUACGGAGGAUCCGAGCGUUAUCCGGAUUUAUUGGGUUUAAAGGGAGCGUAGGCGGACGCUUAAGUCAGUUGUGAAAGUUUGCGGCUCAACCGUAAAAUUGCAGUUGAUACUGGGUGUCUUGAGUACAGUAGAGGCAGGCGGAAUUCGUGGUGUAGCGGUGAAAUGCUUAGAUAUCACGAAGAACUCCGAUUGCGAAGGCAGCCUGCUGGACUGUAACUGACGCUGAUGCUCGAAAGUGUGGGUAUCAAACAGGAUUAGAUACCCUGGUAGUCCACACAGUAAACGAUG